GCUGAAGCAAUCUACCAAUUAUGGAAGCUAUUCUAGCGACGCAUACACAAGUGUAUUCUCUUGCAAGUUUACGUUCGCGCUCAGCAGGUUACAAAACGCGCUCAUCAUGUGGUUUUUGAAAACAGCACCGCUAUGCAGCUAUCUCUUUCGCUCUCACUGCUUUCAAGUUGCCUUAAGAUAUUCGCCACAGACGACGCGUGGGCGUGGCUUCCGCUUUGCUGCUGGCAGUAAUGAAAGGCUGCGGAAGUAACAGCACAACAACAGCAAAAACUUUAGCCACAACAAAAAAUAGCUUAUGCCCCCGCCAGUCUACUAAUUAAUUACGGUGUAAUUAAAAAUUUUUCAAGCUUAACUUUUAUUAGUUUAUCUCGGCAUUUGCAUCUCGCUCGCAAUAAAUCACGCUUCAGUAGUUCGGCUGCAUUUGUUGUUAGUGUUAAUGGUAUUGUUGUUGACGAUGGUGGUGGUGGUGGUGGUAAUGGCGGCAUGCACCACUGCCGGAGACAGCGACGCGCUGACGACAACCAACGGUUGAAAAGUAAAUAUUGAUAUUUCAUGUUAUUUUUUCGUCUGCCUUGCCAUUUUGACAUGAGUCCAUGUUUGUAUGUAUGUAAGUAUGUGCAUUUGUUUUGAUGUUUUUCACUUUUUCCAUGUUUCCCUUUGAUAAAAUAUGCGAUUUAUUGCACAUUUAAUGUAACUCAGCUCCUGCGACAUGCCUCACCUUGUCAACCAUUUGCUGGUUUUGCAUGUAACAAAGUUCAGAUAGAACCAUUUACAAGCCGCUUAAAUAUUUUGCAAAAGGGAAGAGCGAGUAUGAGGCUUUCUUUUGGAUUAUGGUAUAUACAUAUACUUCUACUACGAGGUGUGUUCAAAAAGUAUUGCGAAUCGUAACUGACAGUUUUCUUCGAUUGCAGGGGCGUGGUGCAUCAUGAGUUCUUGCCACAGGGAAGAACGGUCAAUAAGGAAUAUUACCUGCAAGUUAUGCGCAUUACGCUUCUCUUGACGAGAUAAAGACGGCAUCGAAGGAGGAGCUGAAGAAGAUAAAAAAUGAUUUUUUGAAGUGCUUCGAAGAUUGAAAAAACCGUUGGCACAAGUCUUUAA